UACGGGGGGGGCAAGCGUUGUUCGGAAUUACUGGGCGUAAAGGGCUCGUAGGCGGCCAACUAAGUCAGACGUGAAAUCCCCCGGCUUAACCAGGGAACUGCGUCUGAUACUGGAUGGCUUGAGUUUGGGAGAGGGAUGUGGAAUUCCGGGUGUAGUGGUGAAAUGCGUAGAGAUCCGGAGGAACACCAGAGGCGAAAGCGGCAUCCUGGCUCAGCACUGACGCUCAGACACGACAGCAUGGGGAGCGAACGGG
rnacentral:rRNA from 1 species